rnacentral:pre_miRNA from 1 species
UUUGUACUCCCUCCGUCCCAAAAUUCUUGUCUUAAAUUUGUCUAAAUACGGAUGUAUCUAGUUACAUUUUAGUGUUAGAUACAUCCGUAUCUAAACAAAUGUAAGACAAGAAUUUUGCGACGGAGGGAAUACUAC